GAAACUAACUAGAUUCUUCUGGAAGGAUAAUAUGAAUGGAGUGCUGUGGCUGCAGUAAUCUGGUAGGACCCCAGUAGUUGUCAAACCAUUCUAAAACAGUUUCACAAAUUACGCUGGGUAUGGUGGUUGGAGUGUUCCUUUAAGAGCAAUGCGCUACUAUAAGUGUGUGUACACAAAACAUUGGAGCCAGUGAAACCAGAUUAACCGGAAUGAUUCAGAAGAGAAACAAUCUGGACAUAGAACUCUCAAAACAACAACCAGCUCACACAAGUUUUGAAAUCUCUUGCCUGAAACUGUAAGUAAUGUUAAAAGUAUGCCAAGAAUGUGUGUGUU